GAGUAAAUAUUGCUUUGGUGUGACUUAUUUCUCAUAAAAAUAAAUUGGAUUGCAAAAGUACUCAGCGUUUAUCAUAUAGCUUUCGCCAUCCAUGGUUAAUGUGUCUCACUUCUAAGCAGAAAUUCUUUUUAUUGAACUGUUUUUGUUUGCAAGCCUAUAUGCAUGUUACCCUUUUAGUUCAACAAUCACUUUCCAUAACAUUUUACAUUUCCUGGGAAUACACUCUUGAAUCUAUCUUUUUCCUUAUAGUCAUUCCUAGGACAACCAUUUCCUGAAAAGGGAUGUGAACCAUGAUUUAACUUUGGUUAGGAGUGACACGAUGGUGCCUCAUGUGCUUCCUUUCUCAUUACAUUUAAAAUGGUUAAAGAAGUUUAACUAUCCCCAUUAAAUCGAAUACUAAUCUAGGAACCACAUGGAACUCUACAUCAACCUGUUUAAUCAGUUGGCAAACCCAAAAAGGAAAAAAAAAAAGAAAGAAAAGAAAGAAAACACACACACACACACACACAGAGAAGCAAGCUUAAAAGUUGAACAGUAUGUAAUCAGGAGGUUGCUGAUCAUUGCCAUAUAGAUUGACGUGCACAUCCAUUCAGCUGUUACACUGCAUUUGGAUCUUGGAUUUGUGGAGGGAUUCGUGGAGGAAAAAAAAAAGGUAAGUGACUCGCCAAAAAAAAA